GGGCCGGUAGUCUAGCCGGUUAGGAUACUGCCCCGACAUGGCAGUGAUCGUGAGUUCGAAUCUCACUCGGCCCAC
rnacentral:tRNA from 1 species